ACGUAGGCGGCAAGCGUUGUCCGGAAUUAUUGGGCGUAAAGGGAGCGCAGGCGGGAAACUAAGCGGAUCUUAAAAGUGCGGGGCUCAACCCCGUGAGGGGGUCCGAACUGGUUUUCUUGAGUGCAGGAGAGGAAAGCGGAAUUCCCAGUGUAGCGGUGAAAUGCGUAGAUAUUGGGAAGAACACCAGUGGCGAAGGCGGCUUUCUGGACUGUAACUGACGCUAAGGCUCGAAAGCUAGGGUAGCGAACGG
rnacentral:rRNA from 1 species